CCUACGGGAGGCAGCCGUGAGGAAUAUUGGUCAAUGGGCUUACGCCUGAACCAGCCAAGUCGCGUGAGGGAAGACUGCCCUAUGGGUUGUAAACCUCUGUUGUCAGGGAGCAACGCCGGCUACGUGUAGCCGGACUGAGAGUACCUGAAGAAAAAGCAUCGGCUAACCCCGUGCCAGCAGCCGCGGUAAUAAGGAGGAUGCGAGCGUUAUCCGGAUUUAUGGGGUUUAAAGGGUGCGUAGGCGGAAUGCCAAGUCAGCGGUAAAAUCGCGGGGCUCAACCUCGCUCCGCCGUUGAAACUGGCGUUCUUGAGUGGGCGAGAAGUAUGCGGAAUGCGUGGUGUAGCGGUGAAAUGCAUAGAUAUCACGCAGAACUCCGAUUGCGAAGGCAGCAUACCGGCGCCCAACUGACGCUGAAGCACGAAAGCGUGGGUAUCGAACAGGAUUAGAUACCCCAGUAGUC
rnacentral:rRNA from 1 species